CAACUACUCCCUCCAUUCCAAAUUACUUGUCACAGAAAUGGAUGUAUCUAGACGUAUUUUAGUUCUAGAUACAUCCAUUUCCGAGACAAGUAAUUCCGAACGGAGGGAGUAGUAC
rnacentral:pre_miRNA from 1 species